rnacentral:rRNA from 1 species
CAGUCGCCGCGGGAAUACGUAGGGUGCAAGCGUUAAUCGGAAUUACUGGGCGUAAAGCGUGCGCAGGCGGUUAUAUAAGACAGAUGUGAAAUCCCCGGGCUCAACCUGGGAACUGCAUUUGUGACUGUAUAGCUAGAGUACGGCAGAGGGGGAUGGAAUUCCGCGUGUAGCAGUGAAAUGCGUAGAUAUGCGGAGGAAAACCGAUGGCGAAGGCAAUCCCCUGGGCCUGUACUGACGCUCAUGCACGAAAGCGUGGGGAGCAAACAGGAUUAGAGACCCCUGUAGUCCCUGUCUCUUAUAC